rnacentral:rRNA from 1 species
UACGUAGGGGGCUAGCGUUGUCCGGAAUCAUUGGGCGUAAAGCGCGUGUAGGCGGCCCGGUAAGUCCGCUGUGAAAGUCGGGGGCUCAACCCUCGAAAGCCGGUGGAUACUGUCGGGCUCGAGUGCGGAAGAGGCGAGUGGAAUUCCUGGUGUAGCGGUGAAGUGCGCAGAUAUCAGGAGGAACACCGAUUGCGAAGGCAGCUCGCUGGGACGUUACUGACGCUGAGACGCGAAAGCGUGGGGAGCAAACAGG